ACUACGGGGAGCAGCAGUGAGGAAUAUUGGUCAAUGGGCGCGAGCCUGAACCAGCCAAGUAGCGUGAAGGAUGACUGCCCUACGGGUUGUAAACUUCUUUUAUAAAGGGAUAAAGUGAGGCACGUGUGCCUUUUUGUAUGUACUUUAUGAAUAAGGAUCGGCUAACUCCGUGCCAGCAGCCGCGGUAAUACGGAGGAUCCGAGCGUUAUCCGGAUUUAUUGGGGUUAAAGGGAGCGUAGAUGGGUUGUUAAGUCAGUUGUGAAAGUUUGCGGCGCAACCGUAAAAGUGCAAUUGAUACUGGCAGUCUUGAGUACAGUUGAGGUAGGCGGAAUUCGUGGUGUAGCGGUGAAAUGCUUAGAUAUCACGAAGAACUCCGAUUGCGAAGGCAGCUUACUAAACUGCCACUGACAUUGAUGCUCGAAAGUGUGGGUAUCAAACAGGAUUAGAUACCCCGGUAGUC
rnacentral:rRNA from 1 species